rnacentral:rRNA from 1 species
UGGGCGCAAGCCUGAUGGAGCAACACCGCGUGAGUGAAGAAGGGUUUCGGCUCGUAAAGCUCUGUUGUUAAAGAAGAACACGUAUGAGAGUAACUGUUCAUACGUUGACGGUAUUUAACCAGAAAGUCACGGCUAACUACGUGCCAGCAGCCGCGGUAAUACGUAGGUGGCAAGCGUUAUCCGGAUUUAUUGGGCGUAAAGAGAGUGCAGGCGGUUUUCUAAGUCUGAUGUGAAAGCCUUCGGCUUAACCGGAGAAGUGCAUCGGAAACUGGAUAACUUGAGUGCAGAAGAGGGUAGUGGAACUCCAUGUGUAGCGGUGGAAUGCGUAGAUAUAUGGAAGAACACCAGUGGCGAAGGCGGCUACCUGGUCUGCAACUGACGCUGAGACUCGAAAGCAUGGGUAGCGAACAGGAUUAGAUACCCUGGUAG